GGAUUGUGGCUCAGUGGUAGAGCGCUUGCCUAGCAGAUGCGAGGCCCUGGGUUCGAUCCUCAACACCA
rnacentral:tRNA from 1 species